GAUGAAGAACGCAGCGAAAUGCGAUAAGUAAUGUGAAUUGCAGAAUUCAGUGAAUCAUCGAAUCUUUGAACGCACCUUGCGCCCUUUGGCUAUUCUGAAGGGCAUGCCUGUUUGAGUAUCGUGAACACCUCAACUCUCAUGGUCUGCCAUGAUGAGCUUGGACUUUGGGGGUCUUGCUGGCCUACUGUCAGCUCCUCUCAAAUGAAUCAGCUUACCAGUGUUUGGUGGCACCACAGGUGUGAUAACUAUCUACGCUUGUGGUUUUCUGCCAGGUAACCUCCAGUGAUGGAGGUUCGAUGGAGCUCACAAAUGUCUCUCCUCAGCGAGGACAGCUUUUUGAACGUUUGAUCUCAAAUCAGGUAGGACUACCCGCUGAACUUAAGCAUAUCAAUAAGCGGAGGA
rnacentral:misc_RNA from 1 species